UACAGGGGUGCGAACAGUUGCUCGGAAUCAUUGGGCGUAAAGCGCACGUAGGCGGUUCUGUUAUGUCGGAAUGUGAAAGCCCUUGGCUCAACUGACGGAAGUGCAUCCGAAACUGGCGGAAGCUAGAGUAGCUAAGAGGAUCGCGGAAUUCCCGGUGUAGAGGUGAAAUUCGUAGAUAUCGGAAGGAACGACCGGUGGCGAAAGCGGCGAGCGCUGGAUCCCGUACUGAACGCU
rnacentral:rRNA from 1 species